CCAGUCCCUGCCUCUGAAAAACAUCCCACAGCAUGAUGCUGCCACCACUGCACUUCACCGUAGGGAUGGUGCCAGGUUUCCUCCAGACAUGAUGCUGCCACCACUGCACUUCACCGUAGGGAUGGUGCCAGGUUUCCUCCAGACAUGAUGCUGCCACCACUGCACUUCACCGUAGGGAUGGUGCCAGGUUUCCUCCAGACAUGAUGCUGCCACCACCAUGCUUCACCGUAGGGAUGGUGCCAGGUUUCCUCCAGACAUGAUGCUGCCACCACCAUGCUUCACCGUAGGGAUGGUUCCAGGUUUCCUCCAGACGUGAUGCUUGGCAUUAAAGUUAGAGUUCAAUCUUGGUUUCAUCAGACCAGAGAAUGUAGUUUCUCGUCACCUCCCUGACCAAGGCCCUGCUACCCAGAUUGCUCAGUUUGGGCAGGCGGCCAGCUCUAGGAAGAGUCUUGGUGGUUGCAAACGUCUCCCAUUUAAGAAUGAUGGAGGCAGUGUUCUUGGGGAUCUUCAAUGCUGCAUAAAUGUGUUGGUACCCUUCCCCAGAUCUGUUCCUCAACACAAUCCUGUCUCAGAGCUCUACGGACAAUUCCUUCGACCGCAUGUCUUAGUUUUUGCUCUGACAUCUACUGUGGGACCUUGUAUAGACCGGUGUGCGCCUUCCCAAAUCAUGUCCAAUCAAUUGAAUUUACCACAGGUGGACUUCAUCCUUGAUGUUUCUAAAAAUGGAUGGAAACAUGAUGCAAAGGGUCUGAAUACUAAGGUACUACAGAUGAUUAAUUUAUUAUAUAUUAGAAACAACCUGUUUUCGCUUUGUCAUUAUAGGGUAUUGUGUGUAGAUUGAGGGGGAAAACAAUAUUUAAUCAAUUUUAGAAGGCUGUAACGUAACAAUGUGGGAAGAGUCAAGGGAUCUGAAUACUUUCCGAAUGCAUUGUGUGAACAAAAUAAAUGACAUGGCCGGCUGCCCAUGAGCAUGUUUAAAAAAUUGCACAAUUGUUCUGUUGUCAAUCAUUUAUAUUGAGUAUUUGGCUGACCAGUGGGCAACGGCCAGACUCCCUACCAAGAUGCCCGCUUUUCUGGUUGGAUGAGCUGGCGCAAUUUCACAUUCAAAGUCAGUGAGACCCGCUCUGACUGUUCGGGCUCAGGCGCGAAGUGUUUAGGCCACUCAAGCUCACAAAAUGAGACCACCGAUGCAAUCUUCGCUCUCUCCCACUACUCUUCCAUCCCAUCCACUUCCUUCUGUGAAAUACUCCCUUCUGUCUCUUGACUGCCUUUUCAACCCGACUCUCCUCCCAUCCUUUGACACCAACUGUCCCCUUUCCUCCCGGGCAGCCCGAUCCUCCUCUCCAUGACUGAGUGACUCACUACGUGCUAACAGAACAGGGUUGCUAACAGAACAGGGUUGCUAACAGAACAGGGUUGCUAACAGAACAGGGUUGCUAACAGAACAGGGUUGCUAACAGAACAGGGUUGCUAACAGAACAGUUACACAGAACUGGAAGAAAACUAAACUUCCGGAGGACCUAUCAUCCUUCCACUCUCUCUACGUAGCAAGUACGCACGAUUACAUGUGAGUACUGUGUAGAAAGUGUGAAGAGGCUGUAAGAAAAGAAACUUGUAUUUUAUUACAUUUGUUUAUUGGUGUUUUGUAUUCUUGGCAGUGGGUCCAGGCCAAGGCCGGACUGUCUCCUGAACUCGCCGUUUAACAGAUCCGGAGAUUGGAGGGAUGAGAGAGUGGGCAGAAACGGUUAAGGUAGGAGAGGUUGGGGCAGGGCUGGUUAAGGUAGGAGAGGUUGAGGCAGGAAUUUUUAAGGUAGGGGAGGUUGGGGCAGGGCUGGUUAAGUCAGGGGAGGUUGAGGCAGGGCUGGUUUGUGAUGGCUGGGUGGAAUGGGUUGUGAUUACCGGUAAUGGGAAUGGGGAAAAUAAGAAAUCAAAGUGUGGUGCAGUAGGUGAUAUUAAUGUGAGGGGACUGGACAUGGAGGCUGAUGGUGUUCCCAGAGGAAGGGUGGGGGAGGCACUGACAGUUCUUGAACUCACAGGCGUCUGGUGUUCUAGGGCGACUGACCCAGAGACAGAGAGCUGCCGAAGCGCCUCCCCUUCCCCCAGGCGAUCCUUCUCCAUCUUGAGGCGCUCCCUCUCCACCUGCAGGCGCUCUGUCUCCACCCUCAAGCGCUCUCUAUCCAGCUGGAGCCGGUUCUUCUCCACAUCCAGGUGUGCCUUCUGUGUUUCAUGUGCUUUUUCUAAUAAAUCAUAAAGAGCUUGGUGGAUGUGCUGGGCGGUCUGUGUAACAUGGAUUUGUUGCGUUUGUGUCUCCAGGAUUUGUUGGAGCAGAUUGGCUUGGGGGCCUUGUGGUGUCCAGCCAGACGUGAUGGGUUGGGGUGUAGAGUCAGAGUGGAUGGAGUGAGCUGGUGCAGGACAGGAGGUGAUGGGUUGGGGAGCAAAGCCAGAGUGGAUGGAAUGAGCUGGUGCAGGACAGGAGGUGAUGGGUUGGGGAGCAAAGCCAGAGUGGAUGGAAUGAGCUGGUGCAGGACAGGAGGUGAUGGGUUGGGGAGCAAAGCCAGAGUGGAUGGAAUGAGCUGGUGCAGGACAGGAGGUGAUGGGUUGGGGUGCGGUGCCAGAGAGUGCAUCUGCAUUGCUUGCUAUUUGGGGUUUCAGGCUGGGUAUCUGUAAAGCACUUUGUGACAACUGCUGAUGUAAAAAGGGCUUUAUAAAAUAAAUUUGAUUCAUUGAUUGAGAGUGGAUUGAGUGAGCUGGUGCAGGACGGGAGGUGAUGGGUUGGGGUGGCACUGUUGGUGCUGGCCAAGGUGUUGAUGGUGAGGUGGAGGGUAGCUCCUCCAUGGUGACAGAGGGUAAAGCUGCCUCCACAGUUCCCUCUGCUGCUGGUGGGGGACCAGAGCUGGAGAUUUCUCCCUGAGAGAGACCUGGAC
ensembl:lncRNA